rnacentral:misc_RNA from 1 species
GCGUGUCGACGAAGAUCGUCCCGCGCCGUCGACCGGAGGCGGUGCCGUACUCCUCGUGACCAUUGACCAGCAGCGGUUGGGCCGGAGCCAUAAGGCAGCAGUGGAAGGUGAGUCGGUGUGAGCCCGUCUUGCAUUGACAGCUUAUAGCCCUGUCUGUACGGUGCUCCGGCGUGACCGAGGAAGCCGGGCAGCCCUUGCCCAUUGUGGUGCACGCCGAAUGGCGGGGCCUCCCGACAGGAGCAAACUGUGCGGUGUGGACUGCAUGCAGUGCUCACUGUUGCGGUGAACUCGUGCCGGAGAGUGCCACUGGUGUGCCAGUGCUGCUGGUGUUCAGAU